AGGCUGUUUAAUCCAGUUAACCUCUCAGGACAUAUAGAAUCCACAUAGAAUCAUAUAGAAAACCUGUACUUUUGCCUCUGAACUCACUUCAAAGGAGUUGAAUUUAUGCAAAGCACAUAAAAAAGUGAAGAACUUUACUAGGAAAAAAAGAACCAAAAAGUUAUAAAGGGAUGUUUAGGUAUAGAGAAGAAACAGAAGAAGAACACACAUAUUUUGCUCAACUAAAAGACCCAAUUUAACCAUUUUUGCAUCAUAAGUGGAUGAAAUAUAUUGGUUUCACAUGUCCUCCCCUA
rnacentral:lncRNA from 1 species